rnacentral:rRNA from 1 species
UGGUGGAGCGAUUUGUCUGGUUUAUUCCGUUAACGAACGAGACCUUAGCCUGCUAAAUAAGCCGCGCUAACCCAUCCAUCAAAACCCAUGCGCGGCUUCCGAGGUCCGCUGCAGGAUGGCGACGUCAGCAAUGGCGGCUGUCAUCUUGCCGGUGGGAUCCGAGCUCGUGUGGGCGGUCGGGUUCGGCGUCCGUGCUUCUUAGAGGGACUGCUGAUUAUUUAAAAGCGUUUAGCCAGCGGAAGUUUGAGGCAAUAACA